UGCAAGUCGUGCGAGAAAGUUCUUCGGAUAUGAGUAGAGCGGCGGACGGGUGAGUAACGCGUAGGAAUCUACCUAGUAGAAGGGGAUAGCCCGGGGAAACCCGGAUUAAUACCGUAUACCUCCUUCGGGAGAAAGAAGGCCUCUCUUUGAAGCUUUCGCUACUAGAUGAGCCUGCGUAAGAUUAGCUUGUUGGUGAGGUAAAGGCUCACCAAGGCAACGAUCUUUAGCUGGUCUGAGAGGACGAUCAGCCACAUUGGGACUGAGACACGGCCCAGACUCCUACGGGAGGCAGCAGUGGGGAAUAUUGGACAAUGGGCGCAAGCCUGAUCCAGCCAUACCGCGUGUGUGAAGAAGGCCUUCGGGUUGUAAAGCACUUUAAGCAGGGAGAAAAAGUUAUAAGUUAAUACCUUAUAGCCUUGAUGUUACCUGCAGAAUAAGCACCGGCUAAUUCCGUGCCAGCAGCCGCGGUAAUACGGAAGGUGCAAGCGUUAAUCGAAAUUACUGGGCGUAAAGCGCGCGUAGGUGGUUUGUUAAGUUGGAUGUGAAAGCCCUGGGCUCAACCUAGGAACUGCAUCCAAAACUAACUCACUAGAGUACGAUAGAGGGAGGUAGAAUUCAUAGUGUAGCGGUGGAAUGCGUAGAUAUUAUGAAGAAUACCAGUGGCGAAGGCGGCCUCCUGGAUCUGUACUGACACUGAGGUGCGAAAGCGUGGGUAGCGAACAGGAUU
rnacentral:rRNA from 1 species